rnacentral:rRNA from 1 species
GAUUAAGUUAUUAAGGGCGCACGGUGGAUGCCUUGGCACUAGAAGCCGAUGAAGGACGUUACUAACGACGAUAUGCUUUGGGGAGCUGUAAGUAAGCUUUGAUCCAGAGAUUUCCGAAUGGGGAAACCCAGCAUGAGUUAUGUCAUGUUAUCGAUAUGUGAAUACAUAGCAUAUCAGAAGGCACACCCGGAGAACUGAAACAUCUUAGUACCCGGAGGAAGAGAAAGAAAAUUCGAUUCCCUUAGUAGCGGCGAGCGAAACGGGAAGAGCCCAAACCAACAAGCUUGCUUGUUGGGGUUGUAGGACACUCUAUACGGAGUUACAAAGGACGACAUUAGACGAAUCAUCUGGAAAGAUGAAUCAAAGAAGGUAAUAAUCCUGUAGUCGAAAAUGUUGUCUCUCUUGAGUGGAUCCUGAGUACGACGGAGCACGUGAAAUUCCGUCGGAAUCUGGGAGGACCAUCUCCUAAGGCUAAAUACUCUCUAGUGACCGAUAGUGAACCAGUACCGUGAGGGAAAGGUGAAAAGCACCCCGGAAGGGGAGUGAAAUAGAACCUGAAACCGUGUGCUUACAAGUAGUCAGAGCCCGUUAAUGGGUGAUGGCGUGCCUUUUGUAGAAUGAACCGGCGAGUUACGAUUUGAUGCAAGGUUAAGCAGUAAAUGUGGAGCCGUAGCGAAAGCGAGUCUGAAUAGGGCGUUUAGUAUUUGGUCGUAGACCCGAAACCAGGUGAUCUACCCUUGGUCAGGUUGAAGUUCAGGUAACACUGAAUGGAGGACCGAACCGACUUAC